AGUGAACGCUGGCGGCAGGCCUAAUACAUGCAAGUCGAACGGCAGCACAGCAGAGCUUGCUCUGUGGGUGGCGAGUGGCGGACGGGUGAGGAAUACAUGGGAAUCUGCCCAGUCGUGGGGAUAACGUAUGGAACGUACGCUAAUACCGCAUGCGCCCUAAGGGGAAAGGCCGGGACCGCAAGGCCUGGCGCGAUUGGAUGAGCCCAUGUUCGAUUAGCUAGUUGGCGGGGUAAAGGCCCACCAAGGCGACGAUCGAUAGCUGGUCUGAGAGGAUGAUCAGCCACACUGGAACUGAGACACGGUCCAGACUCCUACGGGAGGCAGCAGUAGGGAAUAUUGGACAAUGGGGCGAACCCUGAUCCAGCCAUGCCGCGUGAGUGAAG
rnacentral:rRNA from 1 species